AGGGCACCACCAGGAGUGGAGCCUGCGGCUUAAUUUGACUCAACACGGGAAAACUCACCCGGCCCGGACACUGGAAGGAUUGACAGAUUGAGAGCUCUUUCUUGAUUCAGUGGGUGGUGGUGCAUGGCCGUUCUUAGUUGGUGGAGUGAUUUGUCUGGUUAAUUCCGAUAACGAACGAGACUCUAGCCUACUAAAUAGAUCGUCGGCUUACAAACGCCGGCGAGACUUCUUAGAGGGACAGGCGGUGAUUCAACCGCACGAAACAGAGCAAUAACAGGUCUGUGAUGCCCUUAGAUGUCCGGGGCCGCACGCGCGCUACACUGAAGUGAUCAGCGUGCUUUUUCAACCUACUCUGUCAAGAGUGGGGAACCCAAUGAACCUUCUUCGUGAUUGGGAUAGGGGAUUGUAAUUAUUCCCCUUGAACGAGGAAUUCCCAGUACGCGCGAGUCAUAAGCUCGCGUUGAUUACGUCCCUGCCCUUUGUACACACCGCCCGUCGCUACUACCGAUUGAAUGUUUU
rnacentral:rRNA from 1 species